GUGUAGGCUGUGCAAUUGUGGCGGGCGGCCCUUCCACCCCACAGGCUGCCUACGCAUGCAGCUGGGAGCCUCUCCAGCUCCCAGCCAUCAAAAUUCAAAGCUCCUUUUCUGCCUUUCAGAUCUGAUUGACAAAUUCACUGUUACGAGGAGAAGAAAAACGCCAAAACAGGAACAAUGUUGAUCUUCACCCCUAUUAUUGGUGACUUUUCAGUUCCGUGCGGCGAGGCUGUGAAAAGAGACCGUGACACAGAGGGAAAGUUCCAGGGUCCAUUUCCACCAUAUUUCCAGGCAGUGCUUCCUACAUUGCAAGAUCUCACUGUGGGUAAAAAAAAGUCCUUCAUUGGCAUUCUCGGACCGUGUCCCACUUACCAGGGGUAAACAGCUUCUCAACAAAUACCCUCCUCACACAAGAAUGAAGAAGGGUGUAUUCACCAAUGUGAUCUGUGGAGCUAAUUACAUUCAGUAGGAGAAGCGCUGGAAAUGUGCGGAGGCCGAUGGUCGAUACAAGGAUACAGGAAUUCCACAACACAGGAACACAAGAACACAGAGAACAUGGACCAGAGGCCCUGCUCAUGUGCUGCAAGUCUGUAGCAAAUUCCUGUUCCAGGGAGAGCAACAUUGUACUUCUCAUCCCUUUCCCUGCUCCCAAUCCACUUGCCAUCAAUAAAUCUCCAGUCAGCAACUUGGAAUGGUUUGGGCAGUGUACAGUUAUCAAUGCUCGCUUCCUUGUAAAGAGCUCAUUGGGACGGUGGUAGAGUUGCUGCUUUACAGCACCAGAGACCCCGUUCAAAUCUGACUAUGGGUGCUGUCUGUACGGAGUGUUUACAUUCUACCUGAGACCACGUGGGUUUUCUCCAG